rnacentral:rRNA from 1 species
CCUACGGGAGGCAGCAGUGGGGAAUAUUGCACAAUGGGCGAAAGCCUGAUGCAGCCACGCCGCGUGAGUGAAGAAGUCCUUCGGUAUGUAAAGCUCUUUCAGCAGGGAAGAAAAUAGCAGUACCUGUCCAAGUAGCCCCGGCCAAUUACGUGCCAGCAGCCGCGGUCAUACGCCGGGGGCACGCGUUAUCCGGAUUUACUGGGGGGAAAGGGAGCGUAGACGGUUAUGUAAGUCUGGAGUGAAAGCCCGGGGUCCAACCCCGGGACUGCUUUGGAAACUGUGUAACUGGAGUACAGGAGAGGGAGGCGGAAUUCGUGGUGUAGCGGUGAAAUGCGGAGAGAUCAGGAGGAACACCGGCGGCGAAGGCGGCCUGCUGGACGGAGACUGACGUUGAGGCUCGAAAGCGUGGGGAGCAAACAGGAUUAGAUACCCGGGUAGUC